AAUAUGCAUGUCUCAAAGAUUAAGCCAUGCAUUCUGAGUACAGACCGAUAUAAGGUGAAACCGUGAAUGGCUCAUUAAAUCAGUCAUAAUUCCUAGGAUAGUGAAAAACUUUCCUCGGAUAACUGUGGAAAAUCCAGAGCUAAUACGUGCAACUGAGCUCCGACCUCGGCGCGAGUCGUGGGAAGAGCGCAUUUAUUAAUUUCAAAACUGACCGGUGUACUCCUUCGGGAUACGCCGUCCAUUAAUUGUUUUGAUGACUCCGGAUAACUUAGCCGAGCGCUACGGUCUUUAGUACCGGCGCCGUAUCUUUCAAGUGUCUGCCUUAUCAGCUUUCGAUUGUAGGUUAAAUGCCUACAAUGGCUGUAACGGGUAACGGGGAAUCAGGGUUCGAUUCCGGAGAGGGAGCCUGAGAAACGGCUACCACAUCUAAGGAAGGCAGCAGGCACGCAAAUUACCCACUCCUAGCCCAGGGAGGUAGUGACGAAAAAUAACGAUUCCUGACUCACGUGAGGACUCGUCUCGUGCUGUGUGCUUGAUAAUUCUACUUCUCUCCGGAGUUGUUAGGGUUUCCACAUAUGCGUCGGGUUACAGAAUCUUGCGGACGGCGAGAGUUGGCUAUGAUCGAGUACAGCUCGUCCGCGUUUGGUAAAAUUAAAAUUAUGUCGGCUCGCUCGGAGUGCUCUUUAUCGAGUGUUCCAGGGUGGCUGACACGUUCACUUUGAAAAAAUUAGAGUGCUUAAAGCAGGCCUUAUCAAAUGGCCCAAAUGUCUGUACAUGGAAUGAAAUAACAGGACCUCGAUUCUGUUGUUUUGUCGGUUUUAAUGAACCGAGGUAAUGAUUAAAAGGGACAGACGGUGGCAUUAGUAUUGCGACGCUAGAGGUGAAAUUCUUGGACCGUCGCAAGACUAACUACUGCGAAAGCAUUUGCCAAGAAUGUUUUCAUUAAUCAAGAACGAAAGUUAGAGGAUCGAAGGCGAUCAGAUACCGCCCUAGUUCUAACCCUAAACUAUGCUAACUAGCGAUCCGCCGGAGUCAUUCCCACGACCCGGCGGGAAGCCCCAGGGAAACCAAAGUCUUUGAGUUCCGGGGGAAGUAUGGUUGCAAAGAUGAAACUUAAAGGAAUUGACGGAAGGGCACCACCAGGAGUGGAGCCUGCGGCUUAAUUUGACUCAACACGGGAAACCUCACCAGGCCCAGACAUCAUAAUGAUUGACAGGUUGAGAGCUCUUUCUCGAUUNGAUGGGUGGUGGUGCAUGGCCGUUCUUAGWUGGUGGAGUGAUCUGUCUGGUUGAUUCCGAUAACGAACGAGACUCUACCUUACUAACUAGUCGGCGGAUUGUUACCCUGAGAUAGUUAGUCGGUAUAGGAGAGAUUUAACCGAGGUAUUGUUCAUGCAUGAUUGUGACGGUUUUAACUUUAGUUAACUCCUAAGCUUUCGUGUGUGGCUUUGUCCGAAGUUGCUCUMUGAUUACUACUGCUACUGGGGGCGUCCGCCGCAAUAUAUCUUCUUAGAAGGAUCAGCUGCGUAUAGCAGUACGAGAAAGAGCAAUAACAGGUCUGUGAUGCCCUUAGAUGUUCUGGGCCGCACGCGCGCUACAAUGUAAGGACCAGCGCGCUUUUCCCCCUCCGAAAGGAAAGGGUAACCGCUGAAAGCCAUACUCGAUAGGGAUUGGGGAUUGCAAAUAUUUCCCAUAAACGAGGAAUUCCCAGUAAGCGUGAGUCAUCAACUAGCGUUGAUUACGUCCCUGCCCUUUGUACACACCGCCCGUCGCUACUACCGAUUGAAUGAUUCGGUGAGGGCAUCGGACUGGCGCCUUCGGUUUUGAAACAUAGACUCUAGGCUGACGGAAAGAUGUCCGAACUCGAUCAUUUAGAGGAAGUAAAAGUCGUAACAAGGUUUC
rnacentral:rRNA from 1 species